rnacentral:lncRNA from 1 species
GGUUCGGCCAGGAACUUAGCGAAAACUAUACUGGGUGUUGAGGGCCGGAGGAGCGUGCGCUCCUUAGGCGCUCACACAACUCCUCGGAGUUUUUUCUCCCACCGAAAAAGGAAGCAAUUUGGAGCUGAGGAGGAGGGGGCCGCCCCGGCUCGCGGAUGCUUUUCGCAGUCUCUAUGGAUACUGGCUACACACUUUGGGCAAGAGCCAGAAUUUGAGGAUUUAGGCUGGAUCGUGUGUCUCUGCCAAGGGCUGAUAGGAUGCUGAGCGUCGUCUGUGAAGACUGCGGAAAGAAAUCCAAAAGCAUUAGCCCAGUUUUGCCCAGAGCAAUAGUGUUUGCCUUUUAUUACCUUAUUAAAGAUUAUGAUUUAUGCUCU